CACAGCUUCUCCAAGUAUUCCUCUGGUGACUUGCCAAGCUUGACACACCAGCGCUGCAGGUCGUCACUGCUUGUUGUCACCUGAGAAUGCAAGCUGGUCACACUACAAGCAUGUGUAUACCUUACUACACAGGCAUGCAAGACGACGCAGCAAGUGACGUGGCUGAGUGAUGCCUCGAGUCAGAGGUGAAUCCUGAACCCAGUGAAACGAAACCGAGGCGAAGUCCAUCCCUACCUAGACUGGAGGUUCCUCACUCGCCCUUCGUCUUUUGACCAGUUGCAGAACAUGAACGCGAAAUGAGGGCUGGCCAUUGCGGUGUGAGGACUCCCCCGCAAGCUCUCUUCACUUAUCUAUGAACUGAUUGCCGACUGUCCUUCGUGGCCUACUUCCUGCUCUAGUCUUUUUGUGUGGUGUCCUUAAAAGUUACUAAAGAGUAGUUUAGAGGUUUGGGAUCUUUAAAGAGGCCUGGCCACUGCAGUGUCAGGAUCCCACCCCUCCCCACGCCACGUGAGAUUGCUGAUUGCCGACUGUUCAUGGAUAGUUAGUUGUUGCACUUAGGACACUCCACUGAAGGAACUCCGUUGUGAGCGCUCUUCACUCGUCUGUCAUCUGUAGUAAGCCGAUCGCCGAUUGAUCUUCAUGACUUUUUGAACAUGAACGCAAAAUGAGGGCUGGCCAUUGCGGUGUGAGGACUCCCCCGCAAGCUCUCUUCAUCUAUGAACUGAUUGCCGACUGUCCUUCGUGGCCUACUUCCUGCUCUAGUCUUUUUGUUUGGUGUUCUAAGUUACUAAAGAGUAGUUUAGAGGUUUGGGAUCUUUAAAGAGGCCUGGCCACUGCAGCGUCAGGAUCCACCCCCCCCCCCACGCCACGUGAGAUUGCUGAUUGCCGACUGUUCAUGGAUAGUUGUUGCACUUAGGACAGUCUACUGAGGGGACUCCGCUGUGAGCGCUCUUCACUCGUCUGUUAUCUGUAGUAAGCCGAUCGCCGAUUGAUCUUCAUGACUUUUUGGAUUAAUUUGGCGGCGGCGGCGGCGGCAGCAGCAGCAGCAGGAGCAGGUGCAGGUGAUGGUGGCAGCAACAGCAGCUGCUUUUGUUAAGUCUUCAGCCUUGGAAGUGAUCAUCCCUGUGGGUGAUCAUCUCCAUACAGCACCUGUAGAGAACAAGUGUGUGUCAGACUUGGUUGGCCACCGGUUGUGGUAAACAAGCAGCAGUGUUUUUAGAGUUCAGAGGACUCCCAACUUUUAUUUUUUUUUUUUAAUAAAUUUUUUUUCCCGGGAAGUGGUGCUCUUAUUCUCGGGAGACUCUUCGAAGUAUUGUAAAAGGGGCAUUCGAGUGUUGUAGGUUUCUAAACAGGAGUCUUAACACACUGCCUUACAUUAAACAUGAGUAACGUGAAUAACAAACAUGAAACAUCAGAUUCUAGGAGUUUAUUAUCAUAAAACAAUGGAUGUGAGGUUGAACAGGUCAUGUGUGGUAGUAGUGCUCUGUAGCAGGAAGACUUCAUGUUUGAUGUAUGUAUAAUAAAACAAUGGAUGUGAGGUUGAACAGGUCAUGUGUGGUAGUAGCGCUCUGUAGCAGGAAGACUUCGUGUUUGAUGUAUGUAUAAUAAAACAAUGGAUGUGAGGUUGAACAUGUCAUGUGUGGUAGUAGCGCUCUGUAGCAGGAAGACUUCAUGUUUGAUGUAUGUAUAUGAAUUAAUGUUAUAGUAGCGCUCUUGUAGCAGGAAGACUUCAUGUUUGAUGUAUACAUACGAAUUAUCUAUGAACCUGGGUGCUCACUACAUACUGGUUACAGUGGGGAUUGAGUGUUACAUGAAAUGUGUGUGUGGAGAGCACUGGAGUUUAGCUGUUGAUGUGUGUGAUGAUUGUGUGCUAGCAUGGCUUAAAUAAAAUGUCAUGUGUUGAAAUAAAAUGGCUUGAAGUAAAAUGGCAGUAAAAUGGCUAGAAGUAAAAAAAAUAAAUAAAAUAAAUAAAUAAAAGCACGAACCAACAA